ensembl:snRNA U2 U2 spliceosomal RNA
GCAUCAUAUUAGCUUUUUACCAAAGAUCAAGUAGAGUAUCUCUUCUUAUCAGUUUAAUACCUGGUACCCCCUUAAUAUGAAGAAAAUAUGUUAAACCAACUUUUAAAAUUAUAGUUUGUCAAAGAAUAUUAUACCAUUCCAAUCACAUGUCAACCUGAUACUGCAGCACAGACUGAGCCAAUUGACAGAAAGAAC